rnacentral:lncRNA from 1 species
AAUCGUGAGCAUUCCCACUUCUAGGGUUGUAUAUAAGCUCUAUUUCACCAUUUGGGGAAGGCAUGAAUGAAAUCAAGAUGAUUUAGUUAUUUCUUUCCCUCUUCCCUUUACUUUCUACACUGUUACAUUCUGUGAUCCUAUCAUCUGGUAUCAGCGACAGGUUGCUACCAUCCAUGGGCAAAAGCAAGGCCUCCGUGGUAGUAGCCGACGUCACGGACGCCGACCUGGAGUUGGAGUACUAACAGCAUCAAAUCUUGGAGCAACUCCAGGAGUUCCUUGGUGUCUCUGCUAGCUACUAGCCAAGAGUCCUUCUAGUCGAAUUUGACGGAUAUCCAAGCCUCUUUGGGUAAUAUUAGCCUUGUCCAGCACCAUCUAAUGGAGGAGAUUCGAGCCUCUAGGCCACCACAGCCCUCUACCACCCCUAUUCCACAGAUCCCGAUUGGGUCCUUGCAUAUUCCCCUGGG